CUCUUUCAGCAGUUAAUUGAUGAUGUGGGGUACUGUCACGAAAAAGGUGUCUACCAUAGAGAUCUUAAGCCUGAAAACGUUCUUCUUGAUGCAAAAGUGAAUAUAAAGAUAUCGGAUUUUGGACUCAGUGCUUUACCUCAACAUGUUAGGGGUGAUGGUUUGCUGCAUACAACCUGCGGAAGUCCACACUACGUUGCCCCUGAGGUACU